GCCAGCAGCCAUAUCACCCUGCAGCUCUCAACUGGCUACCUACUGAAGCUAAGCAGGGUCAAGCCUGGUCAGUACCUGGGUGGGAGACCUCCUGGGAAGCUAUGGUUGCUGCUGAAA
ensembl:rRNA 5S_rRNA 5S ribosomal RNA